GGAUGCGAUCAUACCAGCACUAAAGCAUCGGAUCCCAUCAGAACUCCGAAGUUAAGCGUGCUUGGGCGAGAGUAGUACUAGGAUGGGUGACCUCCUGGAAAGUCCUCGUGUUGCAUUCC
rnacentral:rRNA from 1 species